CGGGGAUCCCAGGUGUGUGACAGGUGUGUCCCAGGUGUGUCAGCUGUCCCCAUGUGUCCCAGGCGUAUCCCCAGCUGUCCCCAGGUGUGACAGGUAUGUCCCCAGGUGUGACAGGUGUGUCCCAGGCGUAUCCCCAGCUGUCCCCAGGUGUGACAGGUGUGUCCCAGGUGUGUCAGGUGUCCCCAGCUGGGCCCAGGUGUGUCCCCAGGUGUGUGACAGGUGUGUCC